GCGCCCUUAGCUCAGUGGAUAGAGCGUCUGACUACGAAUCAGAAGGCCGCAGGUUCGAAUCCUGCAGGGCGCGCCA
rnacentral:tRNA from 1 species